rnacentral:rRNA from 1 species
UACGAAGGGGGCUAGCGUUGCUCGGAAUCACUGGGCGUAAAGCGCACGUAGGCGGCUUCUUAAGUCAGGGGUGAAAUCCUGGAGCUCAACUCCAGAACUGCCUUUGAUACUGGCGAUCUUGAGUCCGGGAGAGGUGAGUGGAACUCCGAGUGUAGAGGUGAAAUUCGUAGAUAUUCGGAAGAACACCAGUGGCGAAGGCGGCUCACUGGCCCGGUACUGACGCUGAGGUGCGAAAGCGUGGGGAGCAAACAGG